rnacentral:lncRNA from 13 species
UAUUAUGGGAUGUGACCAGUCCUGUCUCUCUGUGUUACCAGGGUAACGUCCAAGCUGGAUGAGUUCACUAAAGACUUUGCCAAAGAGCUGAUGGAAUACAGACCUGCUCCCAAGAGACGGAGACGCUCCUACUCCAGGUCUCGUUCCUACAGUCGUUCUCCGUUCAGCCGUUCCCCCUACUCCCGAUCUCCUCGCUCCCGCUCCAGGUCUUACUCGUACACCCCCAGCCGCUCCCGCUCCCGUUCCAGGUCUUACGGACGCUCCCCCUUCUCCAGACGCAACGGAGGCCGGGGAGGACGCAGCCGCUCCUACGGCCGCUCGCCACGGUCCCGCUCACGCUCCCGUUCCUACGGCUACCGUCGCUCCGGUUCUCCUCGCUCCCCACCGCCUUACCGAGGUGGUGGUGGUGGGGGCUGGGAAGGAGGAGACGGAGCUGAAGGAGGAGGAGGAGGGGGGUAUCGGCCCAGGUCUCGCUCCCCGGGGGGCUACAGGAGGAGCAGGAGUCCUGGAGGGGUUAGAGGUCACCAUAAGCCCCCCCCUCGAGAGCCGGCUCCUUACGAGCCUAAAGGCGGACCUGACCUGUCUCCCGGGGGCAGGGAGCGCUGGGAGAGAGACAGCUACAGACAGUGGGAGAAAGAGUACAGGGACUGGUACAACAAGUACUACAAAGACUACAGUACCCAGCAUGCCUCGGUGCACCACCGCGGUGGCCGGGGCAGCAGAGAGAGGGACCGCCUCACCCCUCCUCCCAGAGACUACUCCCCCCAGGGGCGGGUGAGGAGAGGUGAGAGAGGGGGACCUCCCGGACCCCACAGAACUCACCACGCAUUGUCCGCUCUGCCCUCUGCCUCCGUCAGGGGGGGCGGAAGUAAGGAACGCACGCAGGGGGGAACCAAAACGUCAGAGGGCGGAACUAAAACUCUGAAAGGGAAGAAACUGAAGAAAAAGAAGAACGGGGAGGAGCUGGAUUCAGCCGACCAAUCGCUGGACAGGGGAGACGCCACACCCGUCAGGGACGAGCCAAUGGAUGAUCUCCACACCCUGACCCCUAGCAAAGCCCCACCCACCUCCACCAAGGUCUCGACCAAUAAGGCAGCGCUGCUGUCCGGUAAAACCCCUCCCACCUCGUCCGGCCAAUCAGAGAAGAGCAGGAAGGAGAAGGGGGGUAAGGUGAAAGUAAAGACGGAGGGAAAGGUGAAAGGAGAGAAGGUUAAGAGAAAGACGGGAGGAGAGGCGACGGUCACAGCCUCUAAGAACAAAGAGUCUUCAGCCGCUAAACCAACCAAAGCAUCCAAACCAGUCAAACCAGACGAGCCAAUCAAGAGAGAGAAGGGGCGGAGCACCCCUACUGUUCGAGGAGGUUUGGCUAAACUCCCCCUGCCCCGCCCCCUCCCCCCUCACCCCCACGACCUCCCUAAACACCUGGGCGACGCCCGCGGGGGAAGGAGAGAUCCCAUUCACAGUGUUGGGGUACGCCCCCCUGGUCGCCCCCUCCAGCCUGCACCUCCCUCCCCAGCGGAGAAGAGGAGGAGAGUGGAAGAGAGGGAAAGGGGGAGGGGGAUGGACAGGGGGAUGGGGGGGCCCCCAGCUAAGCUCCGCCGAGCCGAGGGUCCGUACCUCCAGAGAGGACUUCCUGCCAAGCCUUCCCUCCUCCUGAACCUGGCAUGCAGAGAGUCGGGUAGAGGAGAGGGUCUGCUCCCCAUCCCUGGUUCCUCACAGACAGGGAGGCUAGACCGUUUCCAUCCCAUCUCCAUCUCCAUCCCUGGUUCCUCCAUGGACCUGGGGAGAGAGGGGAGAGGCGACGGGCUGCUGCCCAUCCCAGGGAGCUCUGAGGCGGGCAGAAGAGAGAGUGACAGGGGGUCUAUCUGGCCUCUCAUGGGUCUGCAGGUCAAACCCUUCCCCCAGAGGAGAAUCAAACUGAACAGAGACCUGGGGAGGAACAGCAGUAUGGCCCGCCCAGAGGAGAGACCAGCUCCAGCUGCUAAUAUCACCACUACUAUCACCUCUACUGGAGAGAGACCUGCUGGUCCUGAGAGAGNNNNNNNNNNACAGGGUUACUGUAGAAUACAGGACUAUAGAAUAUAGAGGUCAUAACAGGGUUACUGUAGAAUACAGGACUAUAGAAUAUAGAGGUCAUAACAGGGUUACUGUAGAAUACAGGACUGUAGAAUAUAGAGGUCAUAACAGGGUUACUGUAGAAUACAGGACUAUAGAAUAUAGAGGUCAUAACAGGGUUACUGUAGAAUACAGGACUAUAGAAUAUAGAGGUCAUAACAGGGUUACUGUAGAAUACAGGACUAUAGAAUAUAGAGGUCAUAACAGAGUUACUGUAGAAUACAGGACUAUAGAAUAUAGAGGUCAUAACAGGCUACUGUAAUGCUGUUUUGUCAACUUUGCAUAAGAGCUACUAAAUGACUCAAGUCUAAAUUGUAACCCUCCCCCUCUCUCACCCCCCUCCAGACCCUACAGACCUCUUUCUGACCACGUUCCCCCCCCACGCCACACCCUUCCUUCCGCCCCGGGCCCAGCCCCUCACCUCUACCCGGGCCCUAACCUCUACCACCCUCCACCCAACCCCCACUCCAUCCCGCCCCAGUCCUACCCCCCUCCCUACUCCACCGGACCCCCUCCCCCUGUUAACUACCCCCCUCAGCCCCUCUACACACACGGCCAGAUGCCUCCGGGGGUUAAUGCCCCCUGGGUUCCCCCUCCCANNNNNNNNNNNNNNNNNNNNNNNNNNNNNNNNNNNNNNNNNNNNNNNNNNNNNNNNNNNNNNNNNNNNNNNNNNNNNNNNNNNNNNNNNNNNNNNNNNNNNNNNNNNNNNNNNNNNNNNNNNNNNNNNNNNNNNNNNNNNNNNNNNNNNNNNNNNNNNNNNNNNNNNNGGGGUACGCCCCCCUGGUCGCCCCCUCCAGCCUGCACCUCCCUCCCCAGCGGAGAAGAGGAGGAGAGUGGAAGAGAGGGAAAGGGGGAGGGGGAUGGACAGGGGGAUGGGGGGGCCCCCAGCUAAGCUCCGCCGAGCCGAGGGUCCGUACCUCCAGAGAGGACUUCCUGCCAAGCCUUCCCUCCUCCUGAACCUGGCAUGCAGAGAGUCGGGUAGAGGAGAGGGUCUGCUCCCCAUCCCUGGUUCCUCACAGACAGGGAGGCUAGACCGUUUCCAUCCCAUCUCCAUCUCCAUCCCUGGUUCCUCCAUGGACCUGGGGAGAGAGGGGAGAGGCGACGGGCUGCUGCCCAUCCCAGGGAGCUCUGAGGCGGGCAGAAGAGAGAGUGACAGGGGGUCUAUCUGGCCUCUCAUGGGUCUGCAGGUCAAACCCUUCCCCCAGAGGAGAAUCAAACUGAACAGAGACCUGGGGAGGAACAGCAGUAUGGCCCGCCCAGAGGAGAGACCAGCUCCAGCUGCUAAUAUCACCACUACUAUCACCUCUACUGGAGAGAGACCUGCUGGUCCUGAGAGAGCAGAGAGGGAUGGAGGGACAGAGAGGGUGGCGGUGAUGGUGGAGCGGAGGUUGUCUGGCGAGAGGUCAGAGGUCAGGUCUGUUAGGUCCGAGAGGCCGUCGUCAGGGGAACGUUUGCCGGAGAGAGGAGGAGGAGGAGGAGGAAGGUCAGUCUCUCUAGACCGCAUGACCAUCGCGGAACGCUCGGCCAUCGCUAAGAAACCUGAUGUCACCGGGGAGAGAACAGAGAGCGGGUACACGCCGCCCGCUGAGAGAGAGAGACCAGCUGAGAGCUCCAAGGAGAGAGAGAGACCAGCUGAGAGCUCCAAGGAGAGAGAGAGACCAGCUGAGAGCUCCAAGGAGAGAGAGAGACCAGCUGAGAGCUCCAAGGAGAGAGGGAGACCAGCGUCAGCCAAGACGGACAGGUCAUCAUCCAGGGAGAAGUCAGCCACCAGGGAACAGAAAGGAGAGAAGACCUCGUCCUCCGUAGACAGACCUGCCUCUACAGGGGAGCAAGCGGCAGGGUCCCAGAGAGAGACUGUAGCUGAAGACAGAGCAAUAGCAACAGCAGUGGUGGUGGUGAAGGAGGGUUCUGGGAAGACCAGAAAGAUCAGCAGAAAGAGUUCUGAGCCCACGACCCACCACUCAUCAGACCACUCUGUCACUUCAACUGGGUGAGUUGCCCUUUCGACCUCUGACCUUCCAACGGUUCUUUAUUAGCCCGUGUUGUUAAUCAACAAUCAUUGUGGUUUAACACUAUCUAGAGCUUUCUCCUUUAGUUAUUAACACUAUCAGCGUUCUAGAGUUUCUCCUUUAGUUAACACUUAUCAGCUUUCUAGAACUUUCUCCUUUAGUUAACACUAUCAGCGUUCUAGAGCUUUCUCUAGUUAACACUAUCAGCGUUCUAGAGCUUUCUCCUUUAGUUAACACUAUCAGCGUUCUAGAGCUUUCUCCUUUAGUUAACACUAUCAGCGUUCUAGAGCUUUCUCCUUUAGUUAACACUAUCAGUGUUCUAGAGCUUUCUCCUUUAGUUAACACUUAUCAGCGUUCUAGAACUUUCUCCUUUAGUUAACACUAUCAGCGUUCUAGAGCUUUCUCCUUUAGUUAACACUAUCAGCGUUUCCCUCUACUGUGAGAAUUGUGAUCGAAUAUUCUGCACAGACCGGUGCAACAACCAAUCAGAGCUGCAGUAGGCCUAUAUGCAAAUAGCCAUUGCCAUAUAUGGAUCUGUGCCAUUCACUGAACAAAUAACCACAGUAGCCUACUUGGCCACUGUCAAAACUGGAACUUAAAGCAGGUAGAGCCUUCAC